rnacentral:tRNA from 1 species
GGAAGGGUGGCCGAGCGGUUUAAGGCACCGGUCUUGAAAACCGGCGUACCUUCACGGGUACCGUGGGUUCGAAUCCCACCCCUUCCGCCA